rnacentral:rRNA from 1 species
UACGUAGGGGGCAAGCGUUGUCCGGAUUUAUUGGGCGUAAAGAGCGUGUAGGCGGCUGGGUAGGUCAGUUGUGAAAACUCGAGGCUCAACCUCGAGAUGCCGAUGGAAACCCUCCAGCUAGAGUCCGGAAGAGGAGAGUGGAAUUCCUGGUGUAGCGGUGAAAUGCGCAGAUAUCAGGAAGAACACCCGUGGCUAAGGCGGCUCUCUAGUACGGUACUGACGCUGAGACGCGAAAGCGUGGGGAGCGAACAGG